rnacentral:rRNA from 1 species
GGGGACCACCCUCCAAGGCUGAACACUCUCCUGUGACCGAUAGCGAACCAGUACCGUGAGGGAAAGGUGAAAAGCACCCCGGGAGGGGAGUGAAACAGUACCUGAAACCGUGCGCCCACGAGCAGUCGGAGCACCUAUAUGGUGUGACGGCGUGCCUUUUGUAGAAUGAGCCAGCGAGUCGCUGGCGCGGGGCGAGGUUAACCGAAAGGGAGCCGGAGCGAAAGCGAGCCUUAACAGGGCGACUUGAGUCCCGCGCCGCGGACGCGAAGCCGGGUGAGCUAUCCGUGGGCAGGCUGAAGCGGGGGUAAGACCCCGUGGAGGGCCGAACGCACGUCGGUUGAAAACGGCGGCGAUGACCUGCGGAUAGGGGUGAAAGGCCAAUCAAACCCGGAGAUAUCUCGUUCUCCCCGAAAUAGCUUUAGGGCUAGCGUCGCGCGUUCACCGCCGGAGGUAGAGCACCGGAUGGACGAGGGGGCUUCGCCGCCUACCGAAUCCAACCGAACUCCGAAUGCCGGCGGCCCAGAGCGCGGCAGUCAGAGCAUGUGGGCUAAGCUGUGUGCUCGAGAGGGAAACAGCCCGGACCGCCCGCUAAGGUCCCCAAGUUCCAGCCGAGUGGCAAAGGAUGUGCGUCCGCCCAGACAACCAGGAUGUUGGCUUAGAAGCAGCCAUCCAUUCAAAGAGUGCGUAACAGCUCACUGGUCGAGUGGACAUGCGCCGACAAUACACGGGGCUAAGCUGGACACCGAAGCGGCGGGAUUUUGAUUUACAGAAUCGGUAGGGGAGCUUCCCAUGGGCGGAGAAGCCGGAGGGCGACCGACGGUGGAGCGCAUGGGAGUGAGAAUGCUGGCAUGAGUAGCGAGAGACGAGAGAGUAACUCGUCCGCCGUGAACCCGAGGUUUCCUGGGCAAGGCUAAUCCUCCCAGGGUCAGUCGGGGGCUAAGGCGAGGCCGGUAGGCGUAGCCGACGCGCAGCAGGCAGACAUUCCUGCACCGCGCACGCGGCGCUACGACCGACGGGGCGACGGAUGGGGGUGGCUCGGCGGGGUUCUGGACGUCCCCGUGAUGGAGCGCGGCCCGCGGACCAGGGAAAUCCGGUCCGCAUUGAGGGCGAGGCUCCGGACGAAGCACUUAAGCGAAGCGAGUGAGCCCGAGGUCCCUAGAAAAACCCCUAGGCAGGCGCGUGCGCGCCCGUACCGCAAACCGACACAGGUGGGUGGGUAGAACAUACCGAGGCGAUCGGGUCAACCAUGGUCAAGGAACUCGGCACAAUGGCCCCGUAACUUCGGGAGAAGGGGUGCCCGCGCGUACGUGAACGGACUUGCUCCGGGAGCGGAGGCGGGCCGCAGUGGAGAGGCCCAAGCGACUGUUUACCAAAAACACAGGACUCUGCAGAAGCCGCAAGGCGACGUAUAGGGUCUGACGCCUGCCCGGUGCCGGAAGGUCACGCGGAGGAGUUAGCCGAUUCGGCGAAGCCCCGAAGCCAAGCCCCGGUAAACGGCGGCCGUAACUAUAACGGUCCUAAGGUAGCGAAAUUCCUUGUCGGGUAAGUUCCGACCUGCACGAAAGGCGCAACGACUUGGGCGCUGUCUCGACCAUGGACCCGGUGAAAUUGCACUGGUCGUGAAGAUGCGACUUACCCGCGGAAGGACGGAAAGACCCCGUGAACCUUCACUGCAGCUUGGCAUUGGCCGCUGGUCCCGCGUGUAGAGGAUAGGCAGGAGGCAUCGAUCCGGAGGCGCCAGCCCCCGGGGAGCCGCCCUUGGAAUACUGCCCUCGCGCGACCGGCGUCCUAACCCGAGGCCGUCAACCGGCUCGGGGACCGUGCCAGGCGGGCAGUUUGACUGGGGCGGUCGCCUCCUAAAGGGUAACGGAGGCGCGCGAAGGUCCGCUCGGGACGGUCGGCAACCGUCCUUUUGAAUGCAAGAGUACAAGCGGGCUUGACUGCGAGGCCCACAAGCCGAGCAGGUGCGAAAGCAGGCUCUAGUGAUCCGGCGGCCCCGAGUGGGUGGGCCGUCGCUCAACGGAUAAAAGGUACUCCGGGGAUAACAGGCUGAUCUUGCCCAAGAGUCCACAUCGACGGCAAGGUUUGGCACCUCGAUGUCGGCUCAUCGCAUCCUGGGGCUGGAGCAGGUCCCAAGGGUACGGCUGUUCGCCGUUUAAAGCGGUACGCGAGCUGGGUUCAGAACGUCGUGAGACAGUUCGGUCCCUAUC